AGUAGCCCUUGCAAGAACAUGAGCAACAUGAUUCGCUGACCUAUUGACAUGGUGAACAGACACGUUCCCAAUGUCCCUGGCAAUGCUACAACAUUGCUUAAUAACAAUGAAGCAUUUUUG